rnacentral:lncRNA from 1 species
AAUAUAUAGCAAAUAUAUUUCUAUAAAGCUCAACUUUUUAUUUUUAUCCUCUGAUGAUAAGUUUAGUGAUAUUUAUAUUUGCCCCUCUGGUUGUUACUGUUAGAGCACGUCUCAGUAGAUAAGUGAGCUGAUAUUUUUGUCCUUACAAAUAAAUCUCUCUAAAAUUCCUAAUUGUUAGAAUUAUGUAGAAAUAUUCUUCCAAAAAAUAUUUUAUUUAAUAAUAUAAGAGGAGUAAAAAAAUGUCAAUUUAACUCAUUAGUAUUUUACUCAUGGUUGAAUAUAUUUUUCGAAUGAAUCCUAACAGUAGGAUGCAUUUGAAGACGUUAGGACUUUUAUAGUGAUAAAAAUAAAAAGUUGAACUUUAUAAGAAUAAGAAUAUAUCUAUUAUUCGAUAUGUUCAGAAGAAACUGUACGCAAUUAAUCCAAGAAUAUUUGAUAUAACCCCCUUAGGUUAUAUCCUAACAGAGAUUUUUUAAAUUAAAAUCAAAUUAAU